rnacentral:rRNA from 2 species
AGAGUUUGAUCCUGGCUCAGGACGAACGCUGGCGGCGUGCCUUAAUACAUGCAAGUCGAACGAACUCUGGUAUUGAUUGGUGCUUGCAUCAUGAUUUACAUUUGAGUGAGUGGCGAACUGGUGAGUAACACGUGGGAAACCUGCCCAGAAGCGGGGGAUAACACCUGGAAACAGAUGCUAAUACCCGCAUAACAACUUGGACCGCAUGGUCCGAGCUUGAAAGAUGGCUUCGGCUAUCACUUUUGGAUGGUCCCGCGGCGUAUUAGCUAGAUGGUGGGGUAACGGCUCACCAUGGCAAUGAUACGUAGCCGACCUGAGAGGGUAAUCGGCCACAUUGGGACUUGAGACACGGCCCAAACUCCUACGGGAGGCAGCAGUAGGGAAUCUUCCACAAUGGACGAAAGUCUGAUGGAGCAACGCCGCGUGAGUGAAGAAGGGUUUCGGCUCGUAAAACUCUGUUGUUAAAGAAGAACAUAUCUGAGAGUAACUGUUCAGGUAUUGACGGUAUUUAACCAGAAAGCCACGGCUAACUACGUGCCAGCAGCCGCGGUAAUACGUAGGUGGCAAGCGUUGUCCGGAUUUAUUGGGCGUAAAGCGAGCGCAGGCGGUUUUUUAAGUCUGAUGUGAAAGCCUUCGGCUCAACCGAAGAAGUGCAUCGGAAACUGGGAAACUUGAGUGCAGAAGAGGACAGUGGAACUCCAUGUGUAGCGGUGAAAUGCGUAGAUAUAUGGAAGAACACCAGUGGCGAAGGCGGCUGUCUGGUCUGUAACUGACGCUGAGGCUCGAAAGUAUGGGUAGCAAACAGGAUUAGAUACCCUGGUAGUCCAUACCGUAAACGAUGAAUGCUAAGUGUUGGAGGGUUUCCGCCCUUCAGUGCUGCAGCUAACGCAUUAAGCAUUCCGCCUGGGGAGUACGGCCGCAAGGCUGAAACUCAAAGGAAUUGACGGGGGCCCGCACAAGCGGUGGAGCAUGUGGUUUAAUUCGAAGCUACGCGAAGAACCUUACCAGGUCUUGACAUACUAUGCAAAUCUAAGAGAUUAGACGUUCCCUUCGGGGACAUGGAUACAGGUGGUGCAUGGUGUCGUCAGCUCGUGUCGUGAGAUGUUGGGUUAAGUCCCGCAACGAGCGCAACCCUUAUUAUCAGUUGCCAGCAUUAAGUUGGGCACUCUGGUGAGACUGCCGGUGACAAACCGGAGGAAGGUGGGGAUGACGUCAAAUCAUCAUGCCCCUUAUGACCUGGGCUACACACGUGCUACAAUGGAUGGUACAACGAGUUGCGAACUCGCGAGAGUAAGCUAAUCUCUUAAAGCCAUUCUCAGUUCGGAUUGUAGGCUGCAACUCGCCUACAUGAAGUCGGAAUCGCUAGUAAUCGCGGAUCAGCAUGCCGCGGUGAAUACGUUCCCGGGCCUUGUACACACCGCCCGUCACACCAUGAGAGUUUGUAACACCCAAAGUCGGUGGGGUAACCUUUUAGGAACCAGCCGCCUAAGGUGGGACAGAUGAUUAGGGUGAAGUCGUAACAAGGGUAACC